GAGUUGGCUCAGUCGGUAGAGCACAAGAUUUAAACUCAGGGCUGUGGGUUUGAGCCCCACAUGGGGCA